UACGAAGGGGGCUAGCGUUGCUCGGAAUCACUGGGCGUAAAGGGUGCGUAGGCGGGUCUUUAAGUCAGGGGUGAAAUCCUGGAGCUCAACUCCAGAACUGCCUUUGAUACUGAGGAUCUUGAGUUCGGGAGAGGUGAGUGGAACUGCGAGUGUAGAGGUGAAAUUCGUGGAUAUUCGGAAGAACACCAGUGGCGAAGGCGGCUCACUGGUCCGGUACUGACGCUGAGGUGCGAAAGCGUGGGGAGCAAACAGG
rnacentral:rRNA from 1 species